GGACAUGUAAGGAUGCAGCAGAUAAUGGUGGCUCGAGGUGAUGGCUCCAGCUCUGAGCUUGCCUUUUUGGGCAGAUAGGCAAUAUAGGCACCCUACCAACUUCAAGACAGUCCCUUUCCCUCUAUGGCAGGAAUAACUCGUCUGGUUUGCCAAGGCUUCACUAUAAACAAAAUGCCUAAUGAAGUAUUUUUCUAACAAUUUUCUUCUCCUAGAGCUGCUGGAGGUCAGAGCCAUCCCAGAGCAGUUUGCUCACCUGUGGACUUCAGCUACACCAGCACAGACCUUCCAUGUCUACUGGGGAGAGGUGACAGCACUGAUUAAUUUGACCUUCUGCUCUACAAAUGAUAAUCUACAUCUGUGUCUUAUUCUGGAACAGAGCCCAAAGUCCUGGAUCUGUUGUAUCUCGGCACACAAUUGCAAAAGGAGGAAUGUGAUGUGAUUCUAGAAGUGCAGCAGAAGGGAGGAAGCUGCACUUCCCCAAGGUUCCCUGCCCACUUAAAGACCAUAUUCAUCAGGAUACACCUGCUGAGUUUCUUGCUGUGAACAUCUGACAGGCAGCUGAUAAAAAAGGACAGAACCGAGGGAGCAGAGAGCCAAAGAAUGAAAGGAUGCAAAAGAUGUUGGCAUUUUCCUGCUUACUUUUGGGAUGCUGCUGUGAUUCAAUGCAAGCUAAAAUGGCUUUGUCCUCACACUGGGUGCACAGCAAAAUGGAUGCAUUGCUGUGUGGAAUCCAGUGUCCCCUGCUCCAAGUGCUGUUCCCCCUUUUAACAAGGAGAUUUAACCAAAUGGGGAGCUGACGUUACUUCCUAAGGGUGCAGACAUUCCUAACAAGGAGGUCAAUGACAACUUCAAGCAUAGCAAAAAGAUUAUUCCUCUCAUUCUUCAGAACAACAUUAUCAUUUAUUACCUGUCACUGGGAAUACAAUAAGAAUCCUAAAGAUGUCUUGGAGACAAUUUGGAGAAGCAAAACUUACAAUUUGCAAACUGCACAUAACAUUUCUCUGAGACAUAAAAAGUUCCUGAGGUUCCUGCCUGCAAGAGGGUGCCAUAAGCAUCCCUGCAGAUAUUUAUUCUGACCUCCUGGACCUUUGUCCGGGGCUCAUUCAUUGGGUUUAAAUAAAUAAGCAUUAACAAACCCAAGGCUUCAGAUCUUCUACUGUCCUGCACUGAGCCAGGAUCUUAGGCAAAGAGGCUUAAGUCACAUCUAUAUUUCCUUUGACCUAGAGACAGAGCACAGCUCAGUAUAUCCCAGUUAUGGAGCAAAAAUACCUCUGUGGCUGUACAACCUUGCAUUCAGCUGCCUGAGAAAUCUUUAGAAACUGCUGUAAAAGCAGAUCACCACAGGCUGGCAUUCCCUGCUUGCUGCAGACACUUUCACAUGCAGCACUGGCUGGGCAGAGCAGCCAGAGCCCCAGCCCUGACUUACUUGCACGACAGCCUCAGGAAUCCUCCUGGUGCUGCCUCGCCAGCCUUGGGUAGUGCUGCACUGCAGGAAUACAGUGCCCAGGCUCUCAGAGCCAGCCCUUGAGCUUUGGUAGCUGCCAGGACAAAAGACAAUCUCUAAACGUCAGCCAAUAUAAUCUCACAGACAUCACCUAUAACUUUACCUGG